AUACGUAGGGGGCGAGCGUUGUCCGGAAUGAUUGGGCGUAAAGGGCGCGUAGGCGGUCUGUUAAGUCUGGAGUGAAAGUCCUGUUUUCAAGAUGGGAAUUGCUUUGGAUACUGAUGGGCUUGAGUGCAGGAGAGGUUAUCGGAAUUCCCGGUGUAGCGGUGAAAUGCGUAGAGAUCGGGAGGAACACCAGUGGCGAAGGCGGGUAACUGGACUGCAACUGACGCUGAGGCGCGAAAGUGUGGGGAGCAAACAGGAUUAGAUACCCUGGUAGUCCACACUGUAAACGAUGAAUGCUAGGUGUAAGAGGUAUCGACCCCUUUUGUGCCGGAGUUAACACAAUAAGCAUUCCGCCUGGGGAGUACGGCCGCAAGGUUGAAACUCAAAUGAAUUGACGGGG
rnacentral:rRNA from 1 species